GGGGGGGAGCAGAAAGAAAAGGCAGGGAGUGGAAGAGGGGAGGUAGCGCUUCCCUCCCAUCUGUAGAUGGUGAAGGGCCAACUUUACAUGGUGGGAACAAGCUUAUGAAUAAACUGCACUAGUGGUGACUAACUCGAGAGUCUCAGAGUGACUUUGUGGACUUAGCAGAAGCAGGAGCCUGAGGGGCCUUCCCAUGCUCGGCUACAAAUGGGGGCUUGUCCAGGAUUCCAUGCUAGAGCAAGUGUUUGGUAGCCCGGAGAUGGAGGAGACCCUGCAAUGGCUGGUCAAGCAGCAAGAGGAGGUGAAGAAGGCAAUGCAGAGUUUUCAGCAAGCCUAGCAGCUGGAGAGACAGGCCUUGCUCACCUGGAAGGCAGAACAGCAGAAGAGCCUGCAGGACUUCAUUUGGGAGCAGGCCGGCAUCCAACAGCAGCUCUUGCAGAAAGUGAGCUGGAAUCUGUGUUGCUUUGAACAGGUCCUGGUGGUUUAAGAAUGAUAUUCAAAAGACUGGACAAGCCUACUUACAGCCUUUUUAAAAUUCAUUAAGGUUUCUUUUCUAUUUGAUGAUGAUCUGCUGUGACUCUAAUAAUAGUGUUAUCAAAUGCAAAGUGAGCUGAGGUAAUGAAAAAGUGCAUUAAAAACUAUGAUAACCCUUUAAUGUAAAAAGUCAUCCUUUUCCAAUACGUUGCAAUAAUUUGUAUUAAUAUUUUGAUUUGAUUUAGACUAUUGAAGAGAUCAUUACGUUAAUUGAA